UGGUGCUUGUGUUUUGAAAACAAUAAAAGCUUGAACUAGAGAACAACCCUAACAUUCAGAGCAUUUGCUUUCCUCUGAAAGAACUGAGAAAUGAGCAAACAUCAGAAAAACCUGAAACAUCACUUUGAUUCAGUCUAAAGGAUGGAGAGUGCUGAGUUGCGUGGCUCACAGAACCUGCUCCUUGAAACCGCUUGAAGGCAGGAUGCCUGAGAAAAAGAGGGAACCACUGGGCCCAACAACUUCAAAACCCUCAGGUGAAAAAGAUGAGCAGGCACAGUGCUAAGGAAUUGAACCCAGAGCCUCGUGCAUGCUAGAUA
ensembl:lncRNA